UAUAAGUAUAAUUAUGGGUUUCCUUUCCAACGUUUAACCGUCCAUCUUAUUUAAGAAAAUUAUGAUUAGUAUUUUUGUUAUUAUUAAGUGAUAGAACAAACUUUUUUUAAAAAAGUUUUCAUAAAUUUUUUAAAUUAGAUGGACGGUUAAAUAUUGGACACGAAAACCCAUAACUGCACUUAUA
rfam:Oryza glumipatula chromosome 3, whole genome shotgun sequence.